CCCCACUAUGCCCAGCCCUUAACUAUAAUAAUACCACACCAAUUAUUCGCCAGAGAACUACAAGCAAAAUGCUUAAAACUCAAAGGACUUGGCGGCGCUCCAAAUACCCCUAGAGGAGCCUGUCCUAUAAUCGAUACUCCACGAUACACCAAACCAUCUAUGGCCACUCCAGCCUAUAUACCGCCGUCGUCAGCCUACCCCGUGAGGGAUAAAAAGUAGGCAAAAUCGCCCAACACAAAAACGUCAGGUCAAGGUGUAGCUAAUAAGAUGGAAGCUGAUGGGCUACAUUUUCUAUGCUAGAAAACACGAAAAAUAUAAUGAAACUUGUAUUAGAAGGCGGAUUUAGCAGUAAAAUAAAAAAGAUUACUUAUUUUAAACUCACACUG
rnacentral:rRNA from 1 species